AAGUAGUUUGGCCCGGUUGCCCGGUUCCCCAGUAAUGGGGCAAACUUUGUAUCAGUGAUUUGCCUCCUUACCUCGAUCCCCAGUGGGCUCUGACGCUCCCUGGUGGUCCAACGACACACUUCUCACUUCUGCAGAGCUGCUAAAGAAGGGGUCAAGACUUAAUGUAUUCUCCAAUUGGUAAAUUAUAAAUCGCUAUGUUUUUAAUUUAGUUUUUA